AGGACUAUAGCUCAGUGGUAGAACAUCUGCUUUGCAUGUUGAAGAUCCCAGGUUCAAUCCCUGGUGUCCCCA